rnacentral:tRNA from 1 species
UGGCAGCGUAGCUCAGUGGUAGAGCAGAGGACUUAUAAGCCUUUGGUCGUGGGUUCAAAUCCCUCCGCUGCCAG